rnacentral:rRNA from 1 species
GUGGGGAAUAUUGGACAAUGGGCGCAAGCCUGAUCCAGCCAUGCCGCGUGAGUGAUGAAGGCCCUAGGGUUGUAAAGCUCUUUCACCGGUGAAGAUAAUGACGGUAACCGGAGAAGAAGCCCCGGCUAACUUCGUGCCAGCAGCCGCGGUAAUACGAAGGGGGCUAGCGUUGUUCGGAAUUACUGGGCGUAAAGCGCACGUAGGCGGGUAUUUAAGUCAGGGGUGAAAUCCCAGGGCUCAACUCUGGAACUGCCUUUGAUACUGGGUACCUAGAGUAUGGAAGAGGUAAGUGGAAUUCCGGGUGUAGAGGUGAAAGUCGUAGAUAUUCGGAGGAACACCAGUGGCGAAGGCGGCUUACUGGUCCAUUACUGACGCUGAGGUGCGAAAGCGUGGGGAGCAAACAGGAUUAGAAACCCUUGUAGUCC